rnacentral:tRNA from 2 species
GAUUCUUUAGUAUAUAUAGUAUGUUUGACUUCCAAUCAAAGGGAUUUAAGGAUUA